rnacentral:rRNA from 1 species
AAGCGGAGAUGUACAUAUAAGACGAGAAGACCCCAUGGAGCUUUAAACCCAACGACACCCGCCCCCCUCCAAAUCCUACUAUUUACCCGGUGAUUGUUUGUUUGGUUUUAGGUUGGGGUGACCGCGGAGUAUAAGAUAUCCUCCAUGAAAAAAAGCUAACUGCCCUUAUUAGAGAAAGACACUUCCAAAAAAUAAUAAAUUAAUUUUAAAUGAUCCGACAUUCGAUCAACGAACCAAGUUACCCUGGGGAUAACAGCGCAAUCCGUCCCGAGAGCCCCUAUCGACAGGCGGGUUUACGACCUCGAUGUUGGAUCAGGGUAUCCUAGUGGUGCAGCAGCUACUAAAGGUUCGUUUGUUCAACGAUUAAAACCCU